ACGGGAGGCAGCAGUGGGGAAUAUUGCACAAUGGGGGAAACCCUGAUGCAGCGACGCCGCGUGAGCGAAGAAGUAUUUCGGUAUGUAAAGCUCUAUCAGCAGGGAAGAAAAUGACGGUACCUGACUAAGAAGCCCCGGCUAACUACGUGCCAGCAGCCGCGGUAAUACGUAGGGGGCAAGCGUUAUCCGGAUUUACUGGGUGUAAAGGGAGCGCAGGCGGUCUUGCAAGUCUGAAGUGAAAGCCCGGGGCUCAACCCCGGGACUGCUUUGGAAACUGUAGGACUAGAGUAUCGGAGAGGCAAGUGGAAUUCCUAGUGUAGCGGUGAAAUGCGUAGAUAUUAGGAGGAACACCAGUGGCGAAGGCGGCUUGCUGGACGAUAACUGACGCUGAGGCUCGAAAGCGUGGGGAGCAAACAGGAUUAGAUACCCUGGUA
rnacentral:rRNA from 3 species